rnacentral:rRNA from 1 species
GGAGGCCAACAGUGGGGGAAUAUUUGCACAAUUGGGCGCAAACCUGAUGCAAGCCAUGCCGCGUGUAUGAAAGAAGGCCUUCAGGGUUAUAAAGGUACUUUUCAGCGGUGAGGAAAGGCGGUACGGUUAAUAAACCGCGCCAUUUGACGUUACCCGCAGAAGAAGCACCGUCUAACUCCCGUCCCAGCAAGCCGCGGUAAUNCGGAGGGNGCAAGCNUUAAUCGGAAUUACUGGGNGUAAAGCGCACGCAGGCGGUCUGUUAAGUCAGAUGUGAAAUNCCCGGGCUUAACCUGGGAACUGCAUUUGAAACUGGCAGGCUUGAGUCUUGUAGAGGGGGGUAGAAUUCCAGGUGUAGCGGUGAAAUGCGUAGAGAUCUGGAGGAAUACCGGUGGCGAAGGCGGCCCCCUGGACAAAGACUGACGCUCAGGUGCGAAAGCGUGGGGAGCAAACAGGAUUAGAUACCCUGGUAGUCCACGCCGUAAACGAUGUCGACUUGGAGGCUGUGCCCUUGAGGCGUGGCUUCCGGAGCUAACGCGUUAAGUCGACCGCCUGGGGAGUACGGCCGCAAGGUUAAAACUCAAAUGAAUUGACGGGGGCCCGCACAAGCGGUGGAGCAUGUGGUUUAAUUCGAUGCAACGCGAAGAACCUUACCUACUCUUGACAUCCACGGAAUUCGGCAGAGAUGCCUUAGUGCCUUCGGGAACUGUGAGANCAGGUGCUGUCAUGGCUGUAAUACAUCUAGUGAAUUACGCGGCCGCCUGCAGGUACGAACNCAUAUGGGAGAAGCUCCCCCAACGCGUGGAU